rnacentral:lncRNA from 1 species
CUUGUCCUGCCAUGCAGCAGGUAUGUAGGAGCAUACAUAACUAUUUUAUCCUAUGUAUUCAUUAGUUUCUUCUGUUUGUCCGCCUCUUCUAUUUUGUUUAAAUUAAACAGUACAUCAGUUUUAACUGUGUCCAGAUGUUGUGUCUGAUCUGCAGGUGCAAUGGACCUUGGACCUAUUCUUCGCUGUGUAAAGAUGAAAAAAGCUUGCUCAGUUAAUGGGUGCUUGCGGCAAUGUGCCUCUCAUGGUUGGAAUACCCACUGAUGCAUUUGCACGGAUGUCGCCCAUUGUUGUCACUAUGCGGAGGCAAUGGCACCAAAUUGAUAGUAGUAGUAUGAUAUAUUGUUGUUAGCCAUGUCCUCUUGCUUUGCAAGGGUGAAUAUUAAUCAUGUAUGUCACCGUUGAUAUAAUAGAUGAGGGAGAUUUAAUAGAUUCAAAGGUGUAUA